rnacentral:lncRNA from 1 species
CAGAUGCCUAAGAAGGAAAAACAUGUGAGCGAACUGGUCAACACAUGGCCGAAUGUGGAAACAGCAGGCUGGUGUCCAGCUCUUCCGUGAGAAAGCCUGACUUGAGUCUUGAUGCUGGUGGCACUGUCUCUACAGCAGUCACAUAAGGAUGCUGUGCACUCUGAAGGGCCAGAUGUAUAGGAAAGGUUGAAAGGGUGCUGACAUGGUCUCAACUAUACACACGUCUGGGAGUUGGAUCUGUGAAGGCCUUUGACCAUGAUGUGUAGGGAAAGAACAGGGCCCUGGAGGAAGUCCUUCCAGGCUUUUGGGUAGAGCUUGGGGUGACAGCGGAAGGGAGGGAGACCAGAAUGUGCUCUCUUCCCUAUCCUGCCACAAAUGGCUCAUUUAAAUAGCUCACUCAUCCUUGACUCUCUCCUUUCCCUAAUCCCCCUUUUUCUCCAUUUCCACUACCACAUGCCAACUGAUCUCAGACACACAGAAGGAUCUCUCUGAGCCCUGCUUUUUCCUAAUACAAGGCCAUUUCUAUUUUGAUGUACCUCCAGUGUGGCAAGGUACAACAUUUAUGAAAAGUUGAACAUUUAUGAAAAGUGUAGAUGGUUUUCACACCAUUACCUUAGACACUUUAGGAGCAUCUCAUGAACAGGAUAACAUCAUAGCACAUUCAGAUAUGCAGAAUAUGACAAUCUACCACCUGUUUGGAAUCCUUCCUGGUUCUCUUUUAACAAUGAUGACUGGUGAAUGGCUUGGCAUUUGACUCAAACCUGCCACUUUAGAUGGUCCCUCACAGUGGGGCUUCAAAUUGGAGGUUUUAAUGCUACUCACCCGUGAAGAGAAAAGUUCUAGAACUUGAGGAGGACAGAGAACAGGUGUGAUGUGUUGGGGGAAUAUAAUGGUUUGGAUCUGAAAUGUCCCCCAAAGGUCCUUAUGCUAAAGGCUUGAUUCCAGCCUGUGGAUCUAUUGGGAGAUGGUGGGACCCUUAGGAAAUGGGGGCCUAGCAGAAGGAAGUCAGGUCACUGGGGAUAUUGGCACCCAAAACCCUUCCUCCCUUUCUUUUUCCUUCCUGGCCUCCAUGAGGCAAAUGGUCAUCCUCCACCUACACUCCUGCUGCCAUAAUAUACUGUACAGCCAAAGGCCCAAAGCAACAGGACCAAGUGACCAUGAACUGAAACCAGGAGCCAAAAUAGACUUUUCCUCUUUUAAGCUGGUUUUCUCGGGUAUUCCAUUACAGUGAUGGAAAGCUAUCUAACACAGGGAGAAUGGUGGAGGGGUGCCCGGGAGGAAGUCAUUGAGCACCUACUGCAUGUACUCUACUAUACCACAUGUCUUACAUGCCAUCUUUCUUUCUUUCAAUAGCCUUCUUAUGCUCAUUUUACAGAUAAGAAAGUUAAGAAUUGGCAUAGUAUUGGUCCCUUAGUAGAUGAGAGCAGCCUUCUAGCCCAGGUGUGCCUGAAGCUAGCCUACUCUUUCCCUCACACUUGGCAUCUUGCCAUUUGUGCAUAUCAGCUUCUAUGGUGCUCCAGUGCCUUUAAGCUUGGAGCAUUUGUCAAGUCAUGAACCAACUCUGUGCUCUCUCUUCUCCCUACUCUGACAUAGAUGCUUAGUUUACCUACUAAUGUUGAUGAUAACUUUAAUAUAUAAUAGAGAUGUAGUACUCAUGAAUUUUGUUUUGUUU